rnacentral:rRNA from 1 species
AGAGUUUGAUCCUGGCUCAGGACGAACGUUGGCGGCGUGCCUAACACAUGCAAGUCGAACGGACGAGGCCCCUUCGGGGACCGAGUUAGUGGCGGACGGGUGAGUAACGCGUGAGCAACCUGCCUUUCAGAGGGGGACAACAGUUGGAAACGACUGCUAAUACCGCAUGAUGCAGCGAGAUCGCAUGGUCUUGCUGUCAAAGAUUUAUCGCUGAAAGAUGGGCUCGCGUCUGAUUAGCUAGUUGGAGGGGUAACGGCCCACCAAGGCGACGAUCAGUAGCCGGACUGAGAGGUUGAACGGCCACAUUGGGACUGAGAUACGGCCCAGACUCCUACGGGAGGCAGCAGUGGGGAAUAUUGGGCAAUGGGGGAAACCCUGACCCAGCAACGCCGCGUGAAGGAAGAAGGCUUUCGGGUUGUAAACUUCUUUUACCAGGGACGAAGAACGUGACGGUACCUGGAGAAAAAGCCACGGCUAACUACGUGCCAGCAGCCGCGGUAAUACGUAGGUGGCAAGCGUUGUCCGGAUUUACUGGGUGUAAAGGGCGUGUAGGCGGAGCUGCAAGUCAGAUGUGAAAUCUGGGGGCUUAGCCCUCAAACUGCAUUUGAAACUGUAGCCCUUGAGUAUCGGAGAGGCGGGCGGAAUUCCUAGUGUAGCGGUGAAAUGCGUAGAUAUUAGGAAGAACACCAGUGGCGAAGGCGGCCUGCUGGACGACAACUGACGCUGAGGCGCGAAAGCGUGGGGAGCAAACAGGAUUAGAUACCCUGGUAGUCCACGCUGUAAACGAUGAAUACUAGGUGUGGGGGGACUGACCCCCUCCGUGCCGGAGUUAACACAAUAAGUAUUCCACCUGGGGAGUACGACCGCAAGGUUGAAACUCAAAGGAAUUGACGGGGGCCCGCACAAGCAGUGGAUUAUGUGGUUUAAUUCGACGCAACGCGAAGAACCUUACCGGGAUUUGACAUCCUACUAACGAAGCAGAGAUGCAUUAGGUGCCCUUCGGGGAAAGUAGAGACAGGUGGUGCAUGGUUGUCGUCAGCUCGUGUCGUGAGAUGUUGGGUUAAGUCCCGCAACGAGCGCAACCCCUAUUGUUAGUUGCUACGCAAGAGCACUCUAGCGAGACUGCCGUUGACAAAACGGAGGAAGGCGGGGACGACGUCAAAUCAUCAUGCCCCUUAUGUCCCGGGCUACACACGUAAUACAAUGGCGGUCAACAAAGGGAAGCAAAGCCGCGAGGCAGAGCAAACCCCCAAAAGCCGUCUCAGUUCGGAUUGCAGGCUGCAACUCGCCUGCAUGAAGCUGGAAUUGCUAGUAAUCGUGGAUCAGAAUGCCACGGUGAAUACGUUCCCGGGCCUUGUACACACCGCCCGUCACACCAUGAGAGUCGGGAACACCCGAAGUCCGUAGUCUAACCCGCAAGGGAGGGCGCGGCCGAAGGUGGGUCUGAUAAUUGGGGUGAAGUCGUAACAAGGUA